rnacentral:rRNA from 1 species
AAACCGGGACUGCCUCAGUAACGGCGAGUGAAGCGGCAAAAGCUCAAAUUUGAAAUCCCCCGGGAAUUGUAAUUUGAAGAGAUUUGGGUCCGGCCGGCGGGGGUUAAGUCCACUGGAAAGUGGCGCCACAGAGGGUGACAGCCCCGUGAACCCCUUCAACGCCCUCAUCCCAGAUCUCCAAGAGUCGAGUUGUUUGGGAAUGCAGCUCUAAGUGGGUGGUAAAUUCCAUCUAAAGCUAAAUACCGGCGAGAGACCGAUAGCGAACAAGUACAGUGAUGGAAAGAUGAAAAGCACUUUGAAAAGAGAGUGAAAAAGUACGUGAAAUUGUUGAAAGGGAAGGGCUUGCAAGCAGACACUUAACUGGGCCAGCAUCGGGGCGGCGGGAAACAAAACCACCGGGGAAUGUACCUUUCGAGGAUUAUAACCCCGGUCUUUAUUUCCUUGUUGCCCCGAGGCCUGCAAUCUAAGGAUGCUGGCGUAAUGGUUGCAAGUCGCCCGUCUUGAACCACCGGACCA